rnacentral:lncRNA from 1 species
AUCUCACAGGAAUUUGGGGAAAGAAUAGUGACAUAACACAGUCAGCCUUUGAUCGACAUUGAAUAUUAAAAACCAUGAUUGUUAGUAACUUUUACAUACACUCGAAAGAUAGGGCUUGCCCAGUCCAGACCCUCAACAACCUGAGGUCUGCAAGCUGUCAAUCGACUUUUUGAUUUAGUAUCAGAAUUGAGGUAGAAUUUUUUCACGUAUUAUAGGUUAAUAAAAAAAAAUCUGAAACAGUUUUCUCAUUAAUUAAAAAAUUUUGAGCAGGUCAAACCACACUAAAAUACAAUUUCAUGCCUAGCACCAUGGCUACAAUAAAAAAUAAUGGAAAAUAACAAGUUUUAGUGACAAUGUAGAGAAACUGGAACUCUUGUAUUUUGCUGAUGGGAAUGUAAAAAGUGCAGCCACUAUGGAAAACAGUUUGGCAGUUUCUUGAAAAGCUAGCCUCAGAAUUACCAAAUGAUUUAGCAAUUCCAUGCCUAGAUAUAUAGACAAAUGGAUUGAAAACAAGGACUCAAACAGAACUUGGACCCUAAUGUUCAUUACAACAUUAUUAAUAACAUCCAAAAGGAGGAAACAACCCUAGUAUCCAUCAGCAGAGGAAUGGACAACAAUGUGUUUUAUACACGUAAUGGAAUAUUAUGCAGUCAUAAAAAUAAAUGAAGUUCUGACACAUGGUACAAUACGCAUAAGACAUCAUGCUGAGUGAAAUAAACUGGACACAGAAGAACAAAUAUUGUAUAUUCCACUGAUAGGAAAUUUCUGGAAUAGGCAUAUUCAUGGAGACAGAAAACAGAUUUGAGGUAACUAGAGGCUGUGGGGAGGGGAGAGUGUAAAGUCACUACCUAAUUGUUAGAGUUUCUGUUUAAGGUGAUUAAAAAGUUUUGGAAGUGGACAGUAGUGAGGGUUGCAGAACAUUGUGAACAUAAUUAAUGCCACUGAAUUGUACAUUUAAAGUAGUGAAAAUGGCAAAUUCUAAGCUGUAUAUAUUUUACCACAAUCAUAUAUUUACAAAAUAAACAAAUACAUAAAUAUAUUGCCUCUAAUUUAAAAAAUCUACACUUUCAAACAGUUCAAAAAUAAAAGCAGUAAACACUGAUAAUUCUUACCCCUUUCUCUGAUUCCAUCCAUCUUGUUCCUUUUCACAAGUAACCAUUUGUUAUUAAUUUUCAGAUAGCCACUGUUACUAAUUUCUUAAGUUAUACUUUUGGUAUAUCUUUAUGCAAAUACUAAGUAAGAAUAAAGAAUUCUUAUUCCCUUUUUCCAUAUAUAUGCAUAUUAUUAUACAUUCCAUGUUCUCUGUCUUCACUUACCCAUUUAAAGCUACAUCCUAGAGAUAUUUUCAUAUCAGCAUAUAAUGAGCUUCCCCAUUCUUUUAUACUGCUGUACAAUAUUCCUUUAGGUGCAUAUACUAUAGUUACUUUAACCAGUCCCCUAGAGUUUUGAACUUCUGAUAGUUAGAGCUUUCAAUGUAUAAUUUUAAACAUAUGUGCAUAACACAUUAAACACAUUUUUUUUAUUCAUAUGUGCAAUUUUUACUGUAGGAUCAGUUUCCAAUAUUGGGAUUGCUAAAAUCAAAGGGUAAUUGCAUUUACAAGUUUAAUAGCUAUAACUAAUCCUCCUUGUACCCAUCAAUAGCCCUAGAGGAUGCCUGUUUGUUCAAAGAAUCAUCCAAAAAAAUGUAUUAAAUUUUGGUCUUACUAAACUCAUUAGUGAAAAAAACGGUAUUUGGGUAUAUUUUUAAUUUAUACUACUCUUAUUCUGAGAACAGUUUGGUAUCUUUUUAUAUACUUAAAGGUCAUUUAAUUUUUUUUUUUUUUUUGAUCCAGCAGUUUCCAGAAUCCAAAUGAAUGAGAGGCUAAUGGUAGCUUUUCAGGCUGGGUUAACUGGAAGGUCCAUCUAAUUCUCUGCAUUCUCAUUUCCACAAUGCACAUACAUGCUUUUAGAUAUCCUGGGGGUGGGUGGAAAGAGCAUUGCUUUUGGCUGUAAGGGGAUGAGGUAUGGGGGAGAAGGCAGGCUGCCCUCUAAGCGCACCGGAUCACAAUUAGUGUGAAAAGUGAGCUUUGAGUCAAUAAGUCUAAUAAAACCACUUUGUCUAAUGUCCUCCCAACUUUUCAUGCAAUUUCCAAAGAGCUGCCUGUGAAAAUCUCCUCAAGAAAGAUGAUCACCUGAGCUUGCAGAUUUCAUACUAUGUAGCUCCACAUUUUCUUGGGAGAAACCACAAAGCCAUUCAAUCAUUUCCCUUUGAGAUAAAAUAAAUAACAACAAUGCCACAUAAAUAGCAUCAGUGAGCUGUGAGGGCAAGCUGUCAUUUCCAGGAGAGGGAUGUGUUUUUAUAUCCAAGGGUACAGCAUAUAAUCAUAUUAAAAAAUUCCAAAGAUAGCAGAAAUUCAAAUGGGUGGGUUUUGUCAUUAAGCUGCCUGCAGGUGUUCCAUUUAGAUCAGUUGCUACAUUUGCAAGCCAGAAGGAAAGAAGUGGGCUUUUGCUUAAUUCAUUGAAUCUCAGAAGAAAAUGAACAUUUCUUUCCCCAUGACAAGCAAGAAUUUGCCUCAGACGAACUUGACGUACUGCCGGCUUAUGUUCUAACUUUGUCUGAGACUGUCACGCCACUCUUCCAAAGUUGCCAAGAUCAGAGGCCAAAAGGAAAAAGAAUGGGGCUUUUCUAAGACUGCUGGAUGAUAUCUUCCCCACAAUCUGUCCUGAGGUGUCAUUGCAAGUGUCCGUGUGAAUCAGGCCAGAGAGAAAAACAAAAAGAGAGGCAUUCUUGAGCCCCAAAGUGGCUCCUGCUAAGAUAAAAUAACCAAAGGACAUGAUGGGUGCAGGACAUCGAUAACCAACCUGGGCUGGGUCAGCAUUUCUAAGUUUUUAACCAAGAAAUAUUGAUUUAUGUUUAUUAUGCUUUAUGGCACUUUAGAGCAAUUUAUAACACUUACAUUAAGCAAUGGAUGGGCCGGGAGAAAAGCCAAGAUGGGCAUGAAAAAAGAUGAAGUGCUGUCAGGAACAGCAACUUUCAAGUAUCAGGUGCAAUUUCGUGCUUUUGCAUUUUAUCCGAACUCUUUAACAUGAAGGAAGAAAAUCAUUAUUGAUUUUUAAGUUACACAAACAAAAAAAUACAAGUUGAAUAAACAUAAAGGAAAUUUUAAAAUUCACAUAUGUAUAUACACACACAUACAUAAUACAUAUGUCCCCAACUGUUACAAAUAAAAGCAAAAAUAAAGCCUUUCUCCAUAGACAUUUUUAAAAUAUACCUAAUUAGCACCAUAAUGUAAAAUAAAAGGAAAAAUAGUAUCAUAUAAAAUAUGUUUUCAGAAGUUCCCAUUGUGGCUCAGUGGGUUAAGAACCCUAGAUAGGCUCUGUGAGGAUGCAAGUUCAAUCCGUGGAUCAAGGAUCUGGCAUUCCAUUCCUGCAAGCUGUGGCAUAGGAAAGACUUCAGAGACCAGAGACAUUUUCCCUGUAUGUGUCCCGCAAGAGCAGUUCCAGGAUUUAGCAUCAGGUAAACAAAUGAAAGUAUGCAAAGUAGUCUCAAGAAACCAUAUUGAAAAGCAGAGUUUUACAGAUAGAGAAGUUGUUCAUUCUCUUCAUGAACAUCGAUUAGUAUCAUCAAUAGUUAUUGUUAGGAAACACUUUCAGAGCUAGAAAGUUGCCAAAGUAUUUAAUCUAAUUAAUUACUGUUAUCAUUAGCAAUUUUUAGUAGUGAGACAUUUGCUUCAGUAUUACUACACAUCUCCUUCAAAACACAGUUCAAAGAACACCCCCUUUGUUCUGAGUAAGAAUAAAGUAGAAGUUGGGAGUGAGGUGAGUUGCAGUGAAAUUUGGGAGGAUAGAUACAAUUUUCAAUCAUUUUAACUUGGAAAAUUUCCUUUAGGAGACUGUCCAUGAUUCUGCAGAAAUCUUAGAGGCAUCACAGGAGAACUGAGUUUUGAGUUGUGUUUGUAAAGGCUCAAUGAAAAUGAUUUCAUGACAUAAGAAGAUGCAGUUCUAAGUGAGGAAAACAUCAGAAAGAUUGGGUUUGGUGGAUGAGAGAUGGAAUAAGGAAUCUCUUAUAAAAUUGAUAAUAAUAGCAGUAAAUAGGAAUGAUUUUAGCAGGCAAAGUAAUACUAGCAUGGAACACUGAACACAAGAUUAAAUAUCAUUACAAUGCAUAUGAACAAACAGUUUAGAAGGGAGAAAGCUGAAUAAGGAUAAAAGAAUGAAUGUGAAAGAGUAGACCUCAAUAGGAAUCAGUUCAGUUUGAUUUGGGGAAAAUCCGGUCCAUAAUAGUGAAAUCAGUGGGCCCAAGGAAGAAUCUGUAUCCCAAUUAUCUAACAUCAUGACUUUUCUCAGUCCAAUAACAAUGGUGAAUUCCUCUUACUGGUUUGGAGUGUAAGAUUUUAGCUGGGCAGUCAAGGGCUUUCAAGAUUGGUGCUAAUGUCAUUCUCCAAGGAUUUUUUUCCCCAAAGUCCCCAUCAUUCUAGGAAAUCUAUUGCAUGCAUCCUCAAAACACACAAAUGUCCUCCACUUAAGGUGGAGUGUAUUCAUUGACUGAAUAUUAAUUGAUACCUGGAUGGUUUGUCCGGUGAUCAGCUUCGCAUUCCUUCCCUCAGUCCCUGGAACCCAGCAGUUGAUCAUACAUAAAUUCUCUUUAUUGGGGGGUGGGGUGGGGGGGGAGACUCUCUCAGAAUGGCUCAAAUCCACUUCCAUUUGCCCCAUGAGGAAACUGAACCUGUGGGGGAAAAGUCCUAGCUCCCUCCCAGGACUCCCCUGGCUCUGCCACCUAGUGGGCAGCUUUAGUCACUCCUAUUGCUUUUGAAUUUCUUAAAUUUCUAUCUUCCCUGAUUCCUUAUUCCCAUGCCUCCAACUCCAGAAACACAAAUAAAGUUCCCCCCUCAAAGCUCAGGCUUGUUUGAGAAGGUGGAGCAGAGCACUCUGAUCACCCCUUCCUCCUCAACAGUUCUCUUCUCCUGGCUGCUAUGGCAAUUCCCUAUGCUGCCAGAAUCAGUUUCAUACCCUUAGCAUGUCCUUUGCAGGGCCCCUGUCCCCUCACCCCACUCGGGUGUGCUUACUCUCAGCCUUCAGUGCUUCAGACAAAACUGAAUUUAAAGUUCAGUUUCACUUAAAUAUUUAGAUGUAUUUAAUAUCUUGUUCUUAUAUAAUAUUGGAGGUAGAAAGACUCUUUGGUGCUCUUUCCAAAAAAAUCUUUUAUCAUGUUAGUCAUUCCUCUUUGACUUAAACAUAUUUACUCAUGUUGAAUUCAUCACUUCUGUGUCAGCCAGCUUCAUUGCAAGUUACCCCACAUAGCUAGAUCUUCCUUAUAUUAACAUACCAUUUCUCUCACUGUCAUUUUGCCUUAUCUGUCCUGGUUCUGUCCUUUAGUGUAAACAUUGAGUCUUCAGUGUAAGCUUCUAAGAUUGUUUCAGAAUUCAGUAUGCAAAGAUGGCUAGGGAGUUGGUCAGGAGAAAAUGGCAGAAAUUAGAAGAAGUGAUUUAAUUAACUGAAACCAGGGGGGAAAAAAAUGGUGGCCAAGAAUCAUAUCAUCGAGAUACAGAAGUGACAAUACAGUUGUAAGGAAGAAUUAGGGAUGCAAGACAAAGUGAUAUUUUGUGUGAGCAUGUUUGUGUGUAUGAUGGUUUGCUUAACUCAGGGCUGAUGGCAUGAGUACAGAACUGUGGCUGCACAGAUAAGAGACCAACAAGGCAUCAAAAUGAAAUCUCUAAAAUGAAGUGAGAUUGGCUUACAAUGUUGUGUGCUUAUGUGGGAGGGAUAUAGGUAAAGCAAAAAAGUUUAAAAAUUAAGGUAUUUUAUAUCACAAUGUAUCUUUAGGCAUUCAAUGUAUAGUCAUCAUCUUCUAUCAAGAAAACAGGAGCUUAAGGGAGCUGACCUGGCCAUGAUGGUAGGGUAGGAGUGAAAGUUGAUGCCCUGUGAAGUCCAAACUUGUAGAAACAGACCCCUGCUGAAAUCCAAAGAGUUUAGAAAGAGCUUGAGGUUAAAGACAUUAAAAAUUUCCAAUGGAGCACUAAAAUAGCAAGAGCCCUUAAAUCCAGGUUUAGGGAACCAAAAGUACCAGAUGAUUAAAGAGCUGAAUGUAACAGGUCAAGUAGGAAAGUUUGAGGGUGACAGGCAAAUGUCUGAGACAAGUCUGAUGCUCAGUAUUGGAGUCUGUGAUUUCUGAACCAUGAUGCAUGAGUGGAUCACUUUCAUUAAAGAGUUGGGGAUAGAGCCUAAUGAUCGGUUGUUAUUACUGAGUCAUUUUAUUCAAUAGAGCUAGAAGUUGUAGGGACAGAAAAUUUCUGGAAUUGGAGAAAUCCCAUAGUCCUGGAGAGUCCACAUUGCUAGAUAUGAUAUUUUCCUGGUUGGUUGCUUCUAAUUUCUCUGAUGAGAAGAGAAAUACAUCAAAGCAUUGACCUGAUCCCUUGAACCCUCUAUUUCUAGGUCUGUUUUGAACUCUUCCAAGAUGUGGCAGUCUAAGUGACCAAGACCAAGGAGGUCUUGGUCAUAGAAAGUUUUGCUCCAGAGUUAGGUGAUUGACUUUGGUCAGUGUUGUUUCCCUAAGACACUAAUGCUGGGAAGGAAUUUCCUACUACCUUCAAAGGUCAGAGGUCUUGAUGUCUAUUUAUGUAGAGUGGAGAAGAAUAGAACCUCAGUAUGUGUAAACCCAGAUUUUAAAUGCCAGAACAUUACGGAUGUGACUAGAACCAGGCAAAUCCUUUUCAUUCCCAAAGAGGUUGUUUCUACCAUAAAUGUAGGAACAUGAACAAGUCAAUGGCAAUCAGUGGUGGACCCCAAAAUUUACUGAGUCCAUCUAAUCAUCUUUAGGGACAUUCCACCAGUAUGUAGUCCUGUAUCAUACCAUCCAUCAUAUUGGACAGACAAAACAUGGCCCAGAAACUCUAUUUGGGUUCUUGAGCACACAGUUUUUAGGGUUGGUCCUGGGGUGGUGCUCUUGCUUGGAC